rnacentral:rRNA from 1 species
UACGUAGGGUGCAAGCGUUGUCCGGAAUUAUUGGGCGUAAAGAGCUCGUAGGCGGUUCGUCGCGUCGGCUGUGAAAACCUGAGGCUCAACCUCAGGCCUGCAGUCGAUACGGGCGGACUUGAGUACUGCAGGGGAGACUGGAAUUCCUGGUGUAGCGGUGAAAUGCGCAGAUAUCAGGAGGAACACUGGUGGCGAAGGCGGGUCUCUGGGCAGUAACUGACGCUGAGGAGCGAAAGCGUGGGGAGCGAACAGG